UUAGAUACCCUAUUAUACUAAUAAUAUUUCAGAUUAUUAAUAGUUAUGUUCUUAAAAUUUAAAGAAUUUGGCGGUGAUUUAGUCUUGUUAGAGGAACCUGUUUUUGAAUCGAUACACCACGCAAAAUCUUACUCGUUUUAUUAAAAAAUAGUUUAUAUACCGUCAUUAUCAGAUAAUUUUUAAAAAAUAUAAUUAUUAGAGUUUAAUAAAGUUAAGUGAAAUUAGAUCAAGGUGUAGCUAAUGAAUGAGUUUAAAUGGGUUACAAUAAAUUCUUAUUUAAUACGGAGUAGAGGAGGAAAAAAAAUUCUAUAAAGGGGGAUUUAAUUGUAAUGUAAGUUUAAUAAGCUUAA
rnacentral:rRNA from 1 species